rnacentral:rRNA from 1 species
UAAGGAAUAUUGGACAAUGGUCGCAAGACUGAUCCAGCCAUGCCGCGCGCAGGAAGACGGCCCUAUGGGUUGUAAACUGCUUUUGUACCAGAGAAAACCUAUCUACGUGUAGAUAGCUGAUAGUAUGGUAAGAAUAAGCAUCGGCUAACUUCGUGCCCGCAGCCGCGGUAAGACGCAGGAUGCAAGCGUUAUCCGGAUUCAUUGGGUUUAAAGGGUGCGUAGGCGGGCUUGUAAGUCAGUGGUGAAAUCUCUCAGCUUAACUGAGAAACUGCCAUUGAUACUGCAGGCCUAGAGUAUAGAUGACGUUGGCGGAAUAGGACAUGUAGUGGUGAAAUACUAAGAUAUGUCAGAGAACACCGAUGGCGAAGGCAGCUAACGAAACUAUAACUGACGCUGAGGCACGAAAGUGCGGGGAUCAAACA